GCCGCGGUGCUGGAAUUUAGAAGACAGGAUGGACUCAAAAUCCAUUGUCCUGAAAAGGACGUGAGGGUGCAAGUCCCUCCCGCGGCA
rnacentral:tRNA from 1 species